rnacentral:rRNA from 1 species
GAUGAACGCUGGCGGCGUGCCUAAUACAUGCAAGUCGAGCGAACGGACGAGGAGCUUGCUUCUCUGACGUUAGCGGCGGACGGGUGAGUAACACGUGGAUAACCUACCUAUAAGACUGGGAUAACUUCGGGAAACCGGAGCUAAUACCGGAUAAUAUUUUGAACCGCAUGGUUCAAUAGUGAAAGACGGUUUUGCUGUCACUUAUAGAUGGAUCCGCGCUGCAUUAGCUAGUUGGUAAGGUAACGGCUUACCAAGGCAACGAUGCAUAGCUGACCUGAGAGGGUGAUCGGCCACACUGGAACUGAGACACGGUCCAGACUCCUACGGGAGGCAGCAGUAGGGAAUCUUCCGCAAUGGGCGAAAGCCUGACGGAGCAACGCCGCGUGAGUGAUGAAGGUCUUCGGAUCGUAAAACUCUGUUAUUAGGGAAGAACAUAUGUGUAAGUAACUAUGCACAUCUUGACGGUACCUAAUCAGAAAGCCACGGCUAACUACGUG